rnacentral:tRNA from 1 species
GGUUAUGGUUCAGUGGCAGAGUGCUUGCCUAGCAUGUAUGAGGCACUGGGUUUGAUCCUCAGCACCA